rnacentral:tRNA from 1 species
GCUCCCGUAGUUAAAUGGAUAUAACGGCUCCCUUCUAAGGAGUAAUUGUAGGUUCGAUUCCUACCGGGAGCA